UACAGAGGUCUCGAGCGUUGUUCGGAUUCAUUGGGCGUAAAGGGUGCGUAGGUGGCUAGGUAAGUCGGAUGUGAAAUCCCGGGGUUCAACCCCGGAACUGCAUUCGAUACUGCCUGGCUAGAGUACUGGAGAGGAGAUUGGAAUUUACGGUGUAGCAGUGAAAUGCGUAGAUAUCGUAAGGAAGACCAGUGGCGAAGGCGGAUCUCUGGACAGUUACUGACACUGAGGCACGAAGGCCAGGGGAGCAAACGGG
rnacentral:rRNA from 1 species